rnacentral:misc_RNA from 1 species
GUAGGUGAACCUGCGGAAGGAUCAUUAGCACGUGUUCCACACGCAAACGCUAACCGCGAACUUGUUUCGUUUCGUAGCUGCGGAUAGAAAGACAAAUCGAGAGACGGUAGGAGAGAGUAGUGCCGCCGCACAUUCUCUAUUCGACUUGUCGUCUUUUGGAUCUUCCAAAAGGUAUCCGUGGUUAUUUACGUACCGUAUUAUUGAACUUUUAAACCCUUUGUACACUUCGUACUUUAAACAAUGAUCAUUC